AAUAUUGCAUGUAUUCAGCCAUUCGUCCCCGUGUUAUGACUCUAUUGCCCACGGCGAGAAGAGAACGGAGAAUGUGGGGCAGUUCUGUAUUUCAUAAAGGUUGCUGUCAUGAUGAGUAUGCUUAAGGAUGACGAAUAUUUUAAAAUGGGCUUUCCACUAUUGUACUGAAUACAAGCAUACACAAGGGGACGCCAUAUGCAUAAAGAUCAGGAGGGACACAGUGCUCAGUGUCUACACAUUUUUGCAACUAAGGAAACCACAUAAAUACGCAUACUCAAGCAAACUAAGCUCAACUGCAUCAUUGUAUUGAGUGUGGUGACAAUAAAUGGGUUAUUCCCAAACCCCAUCAGUUCUAUAUUGAAGUCUCUAACCGGACACCCCGGGUCUGUUAUCCACCGGCAUAUAAAACAUAAAUGGUAUAGAACCGUUUUUUCAUAAGCAGCUAUACUUUUUUUGCUGGUUGUGCCACCAUUAGCAGCAACAACUGCAACCAAACGCUUCCGAUAACUGGGGAUCAGUCUUUCACAACGCUGUGAUGGAAUUUUGGCCCACUCUUCUUUGCAUAACUGCUUUAGUUCAGCCACAUUGGAGGGUUUUCGAGCAUGAACUGCCCAUUUAAGGUCCUGCCACAGCAUCUCAAUUGGGUUCAAGUCAGGACUUUGACUAGGCCACUCCAAAACUUUAAUUUAGCUUCUUUUGAGCCAUUCAGAGGUGGACUUACUCCUAUGCUUUGGCUCAUUGUCUUGCUGCAUAAUCCAGUUGAGUUUGAGCUUCAGCUCAUGGACUGAUGACGAGACGUUGUCCUUUAGGAUUUUCUGGUAGAGAAAAUGAGGAAUAUUUCCCUCAAUUAUUGCAAGUCACCCUGGCCCUGAAGCAGCAAUGCCACAUCAUCACACUACCAUCACCAUGCUUGACAGUAGGUAUGAUGUUCUUUUUUGUGGAAUUCUGUGAUUGAUUUACACCAGAUGUAAUGGGACCCCUGUCUUCCAAACAUUUCCUCUUUUGACUCAUCAGUCCACAGAACAUUCUCCCAAAAGGUUUGAGGAUCAUCAAGGUAUGUUUUGGCAAAAUUCAGACAAGAUUAAUGUUCUUCUGGGUUAGCAGUGGUUUUUGCCUCGCCACUCUUCCAUGGAUGGCAUUUUUGGCCAGUGCCUUUCUGAUAGUGGAGUCAUGAACAGCGACCUUUAUUGAUGCGAGAGAGGCCUGCAGAUCCUUGGAUGUUGUCCUAGGCAUUUUUGUGACUUCCAGGAUGAAUUGUCGCUGUGCUCUUGGAAGAAUUUUGGAAGGUCGGCCACUUCUGGGAAGGUUCACUACUGUUCCAGGUUUUCUCCAUUUGGAGAUAAUGGUGGUUCUGUGGAGUCCAGACUGAUGUAUUUCAAUCACCUUUUUCCUCAUCAUUUCUGGAUUUUCUUUCGACCUUGGCAUAGUGUGCUACUGGGUGAGAACUUUUAGCCAACUUCAUGCUGCUAAAAAAGUUCUGUUUAGGUGUUGAUUUGAUUGAACAGGGCUGGCAGUAAUCCGGCCUGGGUGUGUCUAGUCCAGCUGAACCCCAUUAUUAAUGCAGUUUCAUAGAUUUGGGGAUUUCAUAGGAGGGGGCAAAUACUUAUUCACACAGGCCCAGUUGGUAUUGGAUAACUUUUGCUUCAAUAAAUAACAUUAUCACUUAAAAACUGUAUUUUGUGUUUACUCAGAUUGCCUUUAUUUUAUGUUAGAUUUUGUUUGAAUUUUUGAAAAACAUUAGUAUGAGAUCUACACACACAAAAAAAAGAAGAAAUCACAGCACUGUAUUACAAUAAGCUAAUGAGAAUCACUAUUGAGAACAAUGGGAAUUACAAAAAACAUACAGAAAAAGUACAAUAUUGGACACAGUAAUGAGAAUUUAGGAGGAGGGAAAUGUGCUGUGUAUGAAAAUAAUGUCACAAGCAAAAACAAACCUUAUAGGUCCU